AGCAGCUUUCUAACCACCUUGCAUGCCACCACUCAUCCAGCAGUCUUCCCCAAGCAUUGGGCUACAUGGGGAUCCUUGAGAGAAGAAAGCUGAGUCUGAAAUUGGUUUUGCUUCUGUGUUUCUUGCAUACCCUUUAAAGUAUUAGAUACAUGACAGUAAUUGGAGCCAAACCAGCAACUGCUUCGAGAGAUCCCUGGGUUGCAGUUAAGUGUCAGCAGUCCCAGCCAACUGCAACGCUCCCAUUCCUAAGCCAAGGGAUCCAUGCAGGUGUGCAUUGCUCUGUCAAUCCUAUGCUGCUGUGAACCUCAACAAACAUGGGCCCUAAGAACCAGGAAUCCCAGCAACUCUGUUGUGAAAUUUGCAGUACAGCACCACAGUUCUGCAAUAAUUGUAUUUCCUGUUGAGUUACUUCCUCAGACAAUCAACAUAGCAUGGCAAAUAAAAGUGGCCCCCAAAGGAAUAUCAGAACCAACAAGUUGGAAUUGAAAUGGAAAGAAUACCCUUUGGUCAAUCCCAGAGUUGUCUCAUUUGUCUGUCUGUGAAAGAAUAGAAUGAUUUAUGUUUGAAUAAAAGGUGUCAGGGCCUUGGGGGAAGGAACAUACCCAUUCCUGCCAGACCUACUCUGAAAAACCCCUGCUCUAAAAAUCAGUGAUUUGACAAGCAUCACCUUGCAUCUCUGUUGACAUCUAUUAACACACUUCUCCAACUGCUACAGAAUAUUUACUAUUACACACAAUCAGAGAAUCAGGGCCACUGGAUCCCUGGGAUUCUGCUAGACUUGCAAUUUGAAAGCAAAUGAGAUCUUCGGCAAAAUGACAGGCAAAAAUUCUGUGCCACAAUGAGCAGAUGACCUUCAAUGAUAUUGCCACAGUGGAUAAUGCAUUUCUCUUAGUCAAAGGAAGGGCCCACUUCACCUGGCUGUAAGGACAUUGUCUUAGCCUAUUCAACGUGCUGAAACAAAAUAUCUUUGACUUGAUAAUUUAGAAACAAUAGAGACGUCUUGCCCACAGUUCUGAAGGCUGGGAAGUCCAAGAUCCAGGCGCCGGCAUAUUCAGUGUCUGCUGAGGGCUGCUCUCUGCUUCAGAGAUGGUGGCUUUUUACUGCUUCCUCACAUGGCAAAGGGGUGAGGGAGCUCUCUGGGGCCUCUUUUAUUAGGGCACUAAUCCCAUUCUCGAGGGCUCCACUCUCAUGAUGGAGUCAACUUCCAAAGGCCCUGCAUCCUAAUAUCAUCAACUUGGGGAGUGAGGAUUUCAAAACAUGAAUUUUGAGGGAACACAAAUAUUCAGUCUAUAGCAGACAUCUAUUUUUAAAAGAAAUGUUGGCACAAGACAAUGAGAAAGAGAGGGCUUUGUUGGUAAGAGGCCAUGCUGACCUGGACUGUACAAUAAGAUAGCCACCAGCCAUGUGUAACUAUGUAAAUUUAAAUUAAUACAAAUGAAGCCAAUUAAAAAUUCAGCUCCUCAGUGGCACAAGCCACACUUCAAGAGUCUAACCCCACUCAGAAUAUAGAGAUCACUGAGAGGAAGCAAAUGUACACAGCAGACAGGUUGAGAAUUCACUGAAAUUCAGAAUGGUUGCAGCUCUAGAAUUAGGCUUUCGGAGGUGCCUCUUGGCUUCACACCCACCCACCAUUGGCCUUGGGCACGUCAGCCAUGCCGUGCUUCACUCUGUUCAUCAGCAAAGUGAAAGAUCUAAAAAUAAGGCCCUAUGGCACAGAGCUAUGGUGGGAUUGAAUGGGAAUCGGUAUGCAAGAUUGUUGGCACCCAAUAAGUGCCAGCUGUUUUUAUAUUUAAUUUAAUCAUUCAAUUAACAUCCAUUAUUAACUGCCUACUGUGUAGGCAGUUACAACAUGGCUCUAGAGGCUGGGAUGCGGAAGAGAAUAAAGUACUCCCUCCCACCCACUGCCUUCACCAAGCUUACAUUCUAGCAGAGAGACUGGCAACGAACAAGAUCAAUAGCCAGUGUGAUGUCAGUGGUGACAGCUGCUAUGCAGGAAGGGAAAGCUGGGUGAUGAGUAGAUGGCCUGGGAGCAGCACUGCCACGUGGAAUAGGAAACCAGAGAUGGCCUCAUAGGGGAAGAGACUUUCAGACAGAGGAAACAGUACAUGCAGAGGCCACAGGCCAGAGCCUGGCACAUCAGAGUGAGUGCAGGAGGUGACUGGAGAAAAGAAGAGGGGGCAGAGGUGAAAGGUGAAGCCCUGGAGGCCACUGUUGUGGUUUAUGUUUCACUUCGACCUGGAGGCCAGUGGAGGAUUUGAGCCCUGGGUCCCGUGCUUUGCCUUUUGCAUUCAUAAUAAUAGCAGUGUUGUAGAGCCCUCAAUAUGAGCCAGACCUAAGUUCAAACUCUUUACCUACAUCAACAACUCUGAGGGGCAAAAACUAAUAUCAGGCCCAUUUUCCGUCCACAAGAGUCUAAAUGAUAUUCUCAUAGAAGCACAGUUACUCAGAAGCGGAAGCAAAAGUUGAAUUUCUAAGUCAAGCUCUAGACCAUGCUGGGGUCCACAUCCCUGCACACUACCAGGGCCCUGUGUGGCUGCAGCAGGGAUGCCAGGAACAGGAAAACUGGCUGCUGCAUCAAGCCCGCCUGGAGGCAGCAGGGCUGGGACCAGGGUGCUGAGAGGCCGUGCUGGGCACAGGGAGAUUCUGGGCAUCUUUUAUAAACAAAGCCAAGAAGGCAAUCAAGGAUAACACCAAAUGUCUUAGCCUGAACAACUGGAAGGAGAGCAUCACCACUGGCAGGAUGCAGAAGGCCAGGGAAUGAGGAUUGUUUAAUGCCCGUUGAGGACAGAAAUCAGAUCUGUUUUGUCCAUAAUGCCAAUCAAAGCUGAGUUCUCCGAAGUGGACAGAGAAGUGAGUGACUCUCAGAAAGUCUCUCUGAUCUAUUUUUGGCUGAGUGUGCUGUAAUUCACAGUAUGUCCGGACACGGGAUAUUUUUCAGCUUCAGAUAUCAUCAUGGAAGGCGCUAAGUCUCAGGCAGAGCAAUGCUUAGCUUCUUGUGUCCUCAGCACAUGCAAAGAAGUGGGCGUCAGAGCAACGUGCGCCCCCGUGCAUGUCAGCAGAGACAUUGCCAGUGCUCCGGGAGCACUUGUUCCCAAUUUAAUUAAAAACAAAAAACUCCCAAUAGCAAUUUGUCACUGUGUUUUAGGAGGCAUGGAAGCUGUGCUCCAAACUACUGUGACCUGGUUGUUUUGCAGCAAACCUGGUCUGGCUCAUUAACAACUGGAGGCAUAGUCUGUGCUUCAUGCUUCCGUUCCUCAGUUACUCCUGUGAGCCUGGGGUUGGGUGAUAUAACAAACAUGAAGGGAGACCAGUGGGAGGAAAAAUCAGGGCAGGGGCUGUCCCUGUUCUCCAGGCUGGAGCUGGCACUGGCAGCUGCUAUUGCAAACUCAACCUUACUAAUGCCAAUCGGAAAUAUGCACUCAAUCCACUGGGAAAAGCAAGUCAUGAAGAAAUCUCAUCCCCACAGCCAGCACACCCCAGGCUGAUUGGCGAAGCUGCUAAUUGCUUAACACAAGCAAUUAGCAAGGUAGAUGACACUGGAGAAAUGCAAAGCAGUUGCAGUGAGCAUUUUAAAUAUCGCCUUAACUCACUGGAGUAGCUGAGAGGUCCGGAUGAGAGCAGUAGCAUAUCGAUCACUUAGGAGCUGCAAAGACACUAGCUCUGCGUUAAUCAAAGAAUCUGUCUCUGCUGAGGGGAAAAAGCCAGGAAAACACCUGAAAAUGUGGCUUUCGGCUCCUGUGCCCUAGUUUCUUCACCAGAAACCAAAUUCCAGACUCCAUUCAAUUCCUCAUCAGUGAUCAAUAUAGGUAACAAAAUGCUGGGCUGUGUGUGGAUCUAUGAGCAGAUGCUGGAGGCACUGGUACAGACACAGCUGAGCCUGAGGGAUCAGCAGCUCCCUGGGACCUCCCUGCCUUCAUCAAGGAGAAAUGUUUAAUCACAACAGAGCAAGAUAUACAUUCUUCCUGCUGGGGGUGGAAGGAACCUGAGGGCUGUAGUUUAAGGCUUGAAGAAGUGGCAGAGACGCAGAUCACAUCUCUGCUCUUGCUGGUCCCUCUCGCUGAGGAAAACCCAACCCUUCCAGUGCCCCAAGUGCCAUGCUUGCUGGCCCCCCUCACGAGGUGCAUUCAGUGCAGUCCUGACUUCCGACCAGGAUCAGGAAGGAAUUCACCCACCUCCUCAGUGAUUGCGCUCUUCAAGGUGAACAGCCCAGAUCCUUCUAGGCUGCCCGUCCUCCAGCCCCCAGGCUGGGAAGGAAGUCAUCACUUCCCAGGAGAGUUUUGGCAGAUUGGAUUUUCCAAAGAUGGCGCCAUCAAUAUCUCUCAUCCCCCACAAUCUCCUUACACAGUGACACGUCAUCUGUGACACCAAGAUAUCAGGGCUGUGUCCCCUCCUCUGAAUCAGAGUAGACCUCUUUGACUGCCUCAACACAGAGUACAGCAAAGUGAAGCCCUGUGACUCCUGAUACCAGAUCAUGGAAAUUCUCGGUUCUUCCUCUUUGUUCUCUUGGGACGUUACUCCUGGAACCAGACACCGUGCUGUGAGAAAGCCCAGGCAGACCUUGGAGAAGGCCCCGUGUGGAGAGAAACCAAAACCUGGGGCCCACCGCCCUUGCUGCCCUCUCCGACAACGACUGGAACCACACUUCAGCCCCAGAGUAAGACAUCUCCGAAGCAGGUCCUCUACCCUCCAGGGGUCUGCCCCAGAGGGUGCCCCAGAGAGCAAAGCAAGCUCUCUCCACCAAGCCCUGCAAUCUUCAAAUUCAUGAGCAGAAUAAAUAACCACAGUUGUGUCAAAAGACAAAAUCACAACAAAUUUAAAGAUCUUAAUUGGCUUUUAUGUGUGAUUCGUGAAUCAGGGCAGCCUCCAUCCUACAAAAUAAAAUGAAAGCUUGAAAGCUUCCACCA